rnacentral:rRNA from 1 species
GAUGGGGCAUCGGUGUGCGCGAGUCAUUGGGCGUUGAAACCCAAAGGCGCAAUGAAAGUAAAUGUAUCCAUCCGGAGCUGAUGUGCGACCCUGGUCACUGCGGUGGCCAGGAGCAGCAUGGCCCCAUCCUGACUGCUUGCAGUGGGGUGGAGGAAGAGCGUACGCGAUGAGACCCGAAAGAUGGUGAACUAUUCCUGAGCAGGAUGAAGCCAGAGGAAACUCUGGUGGAAGUCCGAAGCGAUUCUGACGUGCAAAUCGAUCGUCUGACUUGGGUAUAGGGGCGAAAGACUAAUCGAACCAUCUAGUAGCUGGUUCCUUCCGAAAAUUGAGAUACCUCCCGCUAAUAUAAGAGACUCGAUCGGGGUCCUCCCGGGAUAUUCUGGGUCUCUUGGUUAGGGCAGGGGUCUUGCGGGACUGCACUUUGGCGUAGACGCUUUAUGUCCAUUAAACUAAUUUCUAUCAAUAAAUUCCUCUCAGAGAUUACCCCAAUCUUUCCACCUACCUGAUGGCUAGAUUUUUAAACGAGGAUUUUAGGUUUGAGUGCAUUUAAAUUAUGAUACAUCCUCCCAUUCCCAAACCCUGAACACGGAGUCUUGCAAUUCACCUCGUGGCAUUUAACCUCGAUCCGAGUGCCCCUGUUGUGUCUUCUGUAUGCAUAAAAUCUUAAAUUUCUACCGAACUAUCUCACCAUGUGGAUAAUGGUGCAAAUCUACAUUGCUGCAGAAGGUUCCUGCACGAAAUUUCAGGUUCCUCAAAACCCAGGGUUACCGGCUGCGAGCAUCAUAUACGAGGUGGCCUGACACAAAAGGGCCAUCAAGUUAGCGUAUCAUGUCGUUGAAAAAUUGCUAGAAAUGCGGACGUAUCAAGGCCGAUCUAUUUCACCACCCCGCACCCUGCUUCUGCCUUGGGGGGUUUAUGGUUGCCACAGGGUCCCUCUCUGAAAAAAUGGAGCCUCAAGAUACUUACCACAGGCGAAGUAAAUCGAUUGCGGAACCAGUCCCCAUUCACCAAUGCCGCGCGCGGGUGAGGUCCCUGGCCAUUGGGAACAUAUAUCCCUCGGGGCAAAGAGCCCGGCCAAAUUUUGUCCUUUAAAAAAUCCCCCGCCUGUUAGGGGGAGCCAGUUUGGUCCCAAGGGAAAUAUUCCAAAUUUCUCUGGAACGAAGACACGUGUAAGUGCUUU